GAGAGAGAGAGAGAGAGAGAGAGAGAGAGAAGCUCAGAGGGAGGGAGGCGGGGAGGGAGACCAAACCCCCGCUCUACUGCGUUGAAAGCUUCUGAAUUUCAAGCAGAAAGUAGAAGGAGCCCCACACGGCAGUGAGCGUCUUUCCUUGGGCUGCGUGUGCAGAGCUUAGACAAUGAAAAUCUCCAUCCCCCUCCCCCAUCCCCGCUAGGCGACAAGAUUUCUGUUUUCGUUCUCAACGGUGGAAGAUGUGCAAAAUCAAAUAUAUAGAGAUGUGUACAUAUUUUUUAAACUAACAAGCCAAAUGGGCUGAGACGCGGAUUAUCCAAACGCGCACUGGCUGGGCGUGUUCUGGGUCUCAGCGCUAGACCGGCACUAGGCGCUCUCUCCAGCCGCAGCCGGGCUCUACGCCUCCCGGUGGACGCGGUGGCGGAGGAUCCCCCCUUCCUCGGACGCUGGAGCAGGAGAGGGCCUUUCCCUCCGGCCGACUGCGCUGUAGGGGACACUGCGAAAAGAGCCGCUGCGGCCGCCGCCUCCCGCCCGCUGCGCAGAGGGCUCCGCCUGUAGAGGUCAACUCCCCUCACCCCUUCCUCUCUCCUACUCGCCCUCCCUCCGCCCGGCCCGGGUUCCGCCAGCCUCCUGCCUCUGGCCGCAGUCUGAGGAGUGCGCGUCCGCUGCGCUGCUCCGAACCGUAACCCCAAGCCGGGCCCAGCCCGGAGGUCCGUGCUCCCCGGCAGUGGCGAAGCCUUAGCGAUCAGCCUUUUCUCUCUGCAGCAAAGCUGUAGCCAGACCAGAUGGGCCGCCCGGCUCUCUCGGGACUAGGCAGGUGCGGUUGAGUUCAUUUUUCCGCAUUACAAAGAAAGAUGACCCAGCCCGCCCUUGGACUCUCCUCUCUUCCCUAAAUCUCCCAACCAAAACCGCGGUAACCUUAUCAGAGGGCACAGAGAUCAGACAUCUCUGCGUGUUUAUCUUACACACACGUAUGAUUGAUUACCUUACCCUGUAUGUGCUAGGUCCGAUCCCCACAGCAGGAAAUGAGUGGCAAAGCUUUCUGCAUCAGAACUCGCCAUGGCGCGGCCCUUAAAACCUGCCAUUCCUGACAAGUCACUUAGAAAGAGAUGCCGGGCGCACCAACCUGGUUUUUUUUGCCUUCAGUAAAGUAACACGAUUACGAAAUUAGAUCUGUACCAGUGUAAUUAACCUCGAUCCCCGCCAUCAUUUGAAAACUAGGUUUAUAGGCGUAUGUAUGUUUUUAGGUGUGCUGUAAAUGGCCUGCAGAUAGAUGCAUAUGUAUAUGCAGACAUGCCUCGUCUACGCUUCCGUCGAACGGCCUAAUUAGUGGCGGCCCUGGCAGCUGUGGCAGGAGGCGAGCAGAGACAGCAGCCGAGCCUCUGAGUUACGACUCUAGGGGAGUCGCAAGGACUCAGACCUCCGGGGAAGGGGAAGGGCAGGAGAAGUGUGGUAUUCAUUCGCAGGGGGUCAGUUCCUUUCCGGAUCAAGAUCAGACUCUGCCCUCCGUGUUCACAGCGGACCUUGAUUUAAUGUCAUACAAUUAAGGCACGCGGUGAAUGCCAAGAGCGGAGCCUACGGCUGCACUUGAAGGACACCAGAGCAUCUCAGGAUAUGAAAGGGGAAACGACAAUUGCAAGGAGAUUUGAGGGGUAGUCGAACGAUCCCACCCCUUUCGGCAUAGAGGCCCUCAGACUAAUUCCAGAACCAACCUAGUGUUCCGUAAGCAGAAGGAUCACAGUUUUCAGUACGAGCUCGGAAAGCUGCAGGCAAAUCCCCAAGGGGGAUUUUACCGCGAGCUUCAGUGACAGCUGUCAGGACAGCAGUAGUUCCUGUUUGUGCAAAUAUUCUUGAGAGUUGAAGCGUUUAGAAAGCAGUGGUUCUUUCAAGAGCAGGUAGUGUGAUUGUUCGCAAUUCUGGGCCAAGUUGCGGUAACAAAACCAGAAAGAGAGAGAGAGAGAGAGAGAGAGAGAGAGAGAGAGAGAGAGAGAGAGAGAGAGAGAGAGGUUAAAUGGAGCCUUCACCGCCUUGUGCAAGAAACCUCAUAUGGUCCAGCUCCUUAGGGAAGCUCCGAACCACCACCACCACACUUUUCCCUUCUCUUCCCAGUUUCGAGUGGGCCUAGCCUGGCUUUAAAAAGCCUAGAUAAUAUUUUUGUUUCGGCACAGUCGCCAUGGCCAAAUCAGUCAAAAGAGUAGGACAAGGGCAAAAAGCUCAGGCCAGAAACUUGAGAAGAACUCGGUAAAUUAAUUUAUUUGGAAGCCAAUGAGGUGGACUUUGUUAAGGUCGUAGUUCCGCACCACGGCCUUGGAGCCGAAGACAAACCCAGGCUGAGAAAGCGAGCCUUGAUGGAUGUCUUUGUUCUGCCUUGGCCUGCAGGGGCUGCGAACAAAGGAGAAGAGCUAAGAGGAUUCACUAAAGUGGCCGCGCCCUCCGCGCCUGCCGCUGUCCGUGGUGCUGACCAUGGCCCUCUUCUCUGUAAUUUAACCAAAAUGCAAUAGGACCGUCCUGUCCCUACCCCAAAGCAUAACAGGAUAUUAGGCAAUUUGCGACAGAAAAAUUAAACGCAGGAAAAUGUAGCAUACAGCAAAACCUACUAUUUACCGAAAUAGUCGACUUUAGCUGUUGCCUCACUUGGCUUCUGCUUUUCCGGCUUCACGUAGUUAAUACAUAUACAGUUAGUGGAUGUAUAUUGGGGGGGGAAAAAUCAGAUGAUUUAGGAUGAAACCGGAAUCUAAGCAAUGGGCAGGACUUGCAAGAAGGAGAAUGAGAAUGAAGCCUCUACUUUUUUUUUCUUUCUUAAGUCAUCUACCUUAAAACUUAUGAACGUGAGGUCCUCACUUACACAGUUUGACAAUGCUGGUGUGUUCACCAAAGGGUCUCGCAACGGACUCAAGUGUGGGCCUCGAGACAUACCAGGAAGGGAUGGGAAGGGGACUGACUAGGUGAGACCAAACUGGAGUCCACCCAGCCUGCCGCCUGGGGCCAGGCUUGCGGCAGGGCAGUCUUCCCAGGCAGGGCCAGAGCGUGAGCACUGCAGACCGCUUUGGUGUGUGGACCUUGCUUCACGCUUCCUGGCCGGCGGGAGGCACUGCAGGGCCUGGAGGCCUGAAAACCGCACUGCGGAAAAACCGACCAUAGAAUCCUCCUUAUAGCUUCGGUAGGUGGAAAAAGGCAGAGUGGUUUACUAAAUUCCAGGCAAUGAAGAUUCCCGUUAAGAGUCUAUGGUCGUAUGGGUCAGUACUAAUAUAUUCAAUAAAUCUUUAAGUCUCUCAGCAUAUUUCAUCAUCCUAACCUAAAUAUUGACAGCAUUAUAUAUAAAUAAUAAAAAUUUAAAUGCCCUAACUAAAUAAUGAAUCAAAGAGGAGAGAGAGAGAGAAAGAGAGAAAACGAGAAACGAGAAACCAACCCAUCUGUAGCCAGCCUGGGCUCUCAAGAGGAAUUGUUACCUGUUCGCUUGCGUUUGUUUAUAAAUUCACAAAUGUAAACGAUGUUAAAGUUAGGAAUAUUGGACAAUGGAGGCAGCAAUGCUAAUUUUGAUCCAGAUAUAGAAAUACGCCAUAAAUGCGUCAUACAUUAAUCAGAUUUGUUCUUUCACACCUGAAUGAUGGAGAUAUAUGAAAUGAUUCAGAAAAUAAAGCUACCAAGCACAAUGUCCUCAGCCAGAUAUAUCUUCGCCCCAUCCCUUAGGGUAGAUUUUAUUUGUCCUCCUGUUUUAAAACUCUGCGAGUUUGGUUUUUCAUAUCCAUUGAUAACUUAGGUUUGUAUUUCAUUUUGUACAAUUUGGGAUGGAGUAGGUAAAACACGCUAGAAAAAAAGGGGGCUACUCGAAUGAUAAAAGGAAAGGGUUUGGGAAUAAUCUUCUUGUGACCGUUAAAGGCAGUUACUGGACAUUGAAAUGGGUUUAAAGCAUUACACAUCAGCGUGGAAGCUUUGAUUUCUUUCUGGUCUUUAUGCAACUGUGCUGAUCUCCUGCAUACACAUCCCGUGGGCUAGUUCAUGAAGGAACAAGGGUCCAAGGUUAUAUGUUCUUGGGUUGUGUUAUAAUUCAUAUUACGUAAUAGAAACUCACAUAACCUCCCUCACCCUAAUCCUUCCUGUUUAGCACUGUCUAAACUUGCCCUCCGAAAAAGCUUAAUCAGUUUUUAAAAAAUUACUUUCUAAAUAGAAAUAAAAUACAUGCUUGUGAAAGAGAAAAGGUUUUUUAAAAUACCACUUAGAGAAGGGACACACAAUUUAGUAAUCUGCUUGCCGUGAUUAAACCUAGAGUGGUUAUUGAUCCGCAAUAUUUCUAGAUUUUUAAACACUAUUUUCUAUUUCUCCUAAAAAUCAUCGUCUGCUUUAACGUCCAUUGCCAAUUUCCCUGCUAUGAAAUUCUAUGCUCAGCAUUUUUGCAAUAAAUCAAUCAAGGCUUCGUAAUUGGAGAAUUUCGGGGCUGCGUGCCGCGGGGGCCAUUUGACAAUCACAACUUUCAUUUAGUAGUCUGAAAUUAAAGCUUCUCGGAAUAACUUAGGAACAGCUUGACACUUUCAGAUACUCAACGACAACCCUCCGGGGAAAUAGAAUGUUUCCUUCCUGGGAACACGAUGCUCGCGCAGUGCCCCAGGAGGUAUCCGGUGUCAACAAUGCCAGGGCGCCCUCUGCUGCCGGCAAGAAGCAGAACAUCAGUUUCAAAAGCCAGAUGGCCCUCGGUCAAAAUCAGCGGUGAAAACAUUAAGCUUUUAGAAACAUUUAAUCUGUGAAAUAUAAAAGCUCUCAUCAUAUUGUACUUUUGAAGGGGCCACCCAAUUUUUAUUUUGAGCACUCCUUGGAUAAGUUUCUCCUAUUGUGAAGGGUAGUGAAAAGUCAAUGUUUUUUAGUUUUCCGUCUGUCAAAUUAUUUCUUUGGUUAUACAUUUUUGCACCCUUUCUCAAAUUUUACAUGGAAAUAUGAAAUUGCAAACCAGAGUGAAAAACCUUAGUUUUGAAUAGAUGAAUAUUUCCUAAUUUCUCCAGAUAACUCAGAUCUAAAAAAGAAAACAAUUAAAGAUAACCACAAGUUGUUUAACUUUUUUUAAAGAUAAUUUUUUAAAAAAUUAAGGACCGAGGUGAAGAAUUGUUUUCUUGUUUUUACAGUUAACCCAGAUUUUUCUCAGGCUUUAAGUUUGGGAAUAAGGAAGUGAGUUACGUUUGAGGAAGAAGUGGAAACUUUUGCUUUCUGCUAACAUGUAUGCCCUUUUUAACCUGAUAGCUUUGUAAUGAAUUUAUAUCCAUACUUAACUUGCAAAGACCUCUUUAGUAGAGAACCCACUCUUAGGAGAAGUGGUCAGAUAUGGUCUCAGCAUAGGCAAACUCAUAAGAAGUAUACUUACAUUAAAAACAAGUUUUUCAGUAUAAAACAAUCUCUUCACAAAUGAUAUGGAGAUUUUUUAAAAGGCUAAAAAUCCUUGUUAAUUUUUAUGUAUUAUAGGGUGUAUAUUGAAUAAAAAAUGUACAGUUGUAUUAAUUCAAUGUUUCAAAUUUCAAAAUUACAAACAGCUUUGCCAAGAAGACCAUUGUUGAAUGCUAAUGUAAUAAAAUACUUCUAUUAAUAAUGUGGUUGUUAAAUAAAUCUUAUAUAAAUAAAGUUCUGUUCAUAUUAUGUCAGGAUGUGUCAGGAUGAAAAAGCUAUCUAAUAUCACUCAUUUUAAUCUCAGUUUUUAAAUUAAAAUUCUUACAAGAAUAUUAAGCUAUAAGGUUGCCGAGAAUAUUAAGCUAAAAAUUAAAAAUUAUAUGAUUUUAUAAUUUGCUAUAGAAAAAAGCCUUGAUUAAAUAUUAACCGAAGUUAAACAUUUAGCCAAAUAUGUAAAAUCCCCUGUAACUAUAGGUACAUUUGUCUUCUGAAAUCUACUUCAAAGAAUUCAUUUGCAAAUUUAUGGCCUAAACAAGGUAAAGAAAAUUGUUAGAAUGUUUACAUUUUCAUUCUCAACAUUCUUUUAAAAACAUUGUUUUUCUUUUUGCUUAACUUCAAUUUCUUUCUAAAUCAAUUCAUAUUUUACCCAGGAGAGAACGAACACAGUGACGUAUUUUACUAUAUUCCUAAAAGUUAUUAUAAUAAGUUUAAAACCAACCUUUAAGUAAAUAAAAUGCAGUAUACAUAUUGAAACAUUUUUGUUUUCUAUUUUAAAAACCAUUUGCUCGAUUAAAACGAAAAAAAACAAACUGAAGAGAACCAACUAAAAGAGCUUCUCAGAUGCCCAAGAGAUGCAGCCCAACGGGAAAAGCAUGCACCAAUAUUUGCUGUUCAAAUUUGUAUGUAAGAGUUUUUAACCUCUCUGUGUUUUAUAUUUGCACGGGGGUAACAUAUUGUAACUGAAACACUCGUCCUAACUUCUGGCUAUUUAGAAUCCAUGGAAGCAUUCAGUUCUAUAAACAACAUAUUUAUGGGAAGCACUAAUACAGUGAUAAAAGCAACUAGUUACUGAUAGUUUUAUUUAAAAAUUAACCACAUAAUAAUUGUGUCCUCAUUUAUGUCCACUCUCAGAUGAAAUUAAGAUUGAAUUUAAUGUUUGUGGAUCACAAAAAUAAAAGCUCUUUAGAUUAGAAAGGACAGGUUUUAGCAGACUCUAAGGUAGUUUUUCAAUCCAGUUUCAGACUCAGCUAUCAGUGCAGUUUUCAUCAGCUGCUAUUAAGUAACUAGUACAAUAUAGAAAUAUGGCUGAGUAGGAAUUGAGCGUGUAAUGCUUUAAGAUGCAAUAAAAUUGGAUUGUCAAGAAACUGGAAUUAUUUUUUAGAAGAUUGAUAGUUGCGAAGUUUAGGGAAAAUGUUUCCAUUGAAGAACAAUAGCCAGUAAAGUAAAAACAAAGUCCAGUAUUGGAAGCAGACGAUACUACCAAGGCAAAAUAGGGUGAAAUAGGAAGAAUUAAGUAUGAGAUAUACGUAGAAAGAACUAAGAAGAUAUUGGACUUCAAUUUUGUUUUUAAUAUUCAGUAGAAGAUAUUUAUGUAGAAAAUUCUUAAGGAAUUACUAGAUAUUAUCUCAGAGUGUUUCUUCAUUGGAAUGCAUUGCAAUUUUGAUCUUGUCAUGUUAAAGAAGCACAUUAAAAAAGUAGAAAAUUAAAUUAGCAAAAUACUAUUUUAUUAUUCAACUCUUAUCCCAUGAAUUGAAAGGCAGAAUUGUGUUUUUUCCUUUCCCAGUAGUUGGCCAAACUUUUUUUUAAUUAUAAGGAAAGAAUUAAUUUGAACAUAAGAGUAUAUAUCGUAUAAAUAAUAUAAUUAUUAUGAUAUAGUAUAUUUUGGGCAAAAUAUCUUCUUCCUGAUACUUGUGGAGAUCCAAAAUAGGGAUGUGUGAAAAAGAAACUUGGUUUAACAAAAUUCUUCCUUACUGAUGAUGUCAGUAUUCUUAUGUAGUAGUCAUAAUAUAGUUAGAUAGACAGGAUACUUCAUUGGAACCCAAUCAUGAUGCUUCUUAGAAGUUCCCAGUAGGCAAUGCUGGUGUGAGGAGUGAGGCUGACCUACUAAAUACUAAGAACCUUGGCCAAGGUCAAUUUAAAGGGUAUACACUUCGGGCUGCUAGGAAAACAUUAAGUGGAGAAAGGUGUUCUCUGGACCAGAGCUGUGUAAUGUCAAUUUUCCAGAUUAGAGGAACUCCACCUUUCUCUGGAUGUCUUGGCCUGACUUCGUUCCCUCAGUUCCCAGAACUAGGCUAUAGUAGUUGUCCAUUUUAAUUGUCCUGACAAUAUUAGAUAAUCAAAUAGAGACAUCUGCAAGCACUCCAAGAAUACAUUCCUCAAUAAGUGAUUUUAACAACCUGGAUAUAUUUAAAAGGAAGGAUUCUUAUUCUUUGAAAGGGUUAUUUUAAUCUAAUUUUUCAAUCCAGAAAGCACAACUAUUUAUAAAUGCCCAGUAAGCAUUGGGCAGGUGUGUUAGUUGGAUGAGAGAAAGUGGUAGUGAGUGUGUAUCUACAUACAUGUGUAUGGAGAGAAAAGCUAGUAAUAAUGAAUAUCUAUAUUAGAGAUGAUGGUUAACAUUUAAAACAUGAUUGUGGAAAAAAUAAAAUCAACGCUAGCUGUGGCCUGAACCCACCUCUCCUGCAGUUAUUGUCUUACAAUCAGCUAGUCAACAUGGUAAAACCCCAUGGUACGAGAGAAUUAUGAAUAAAGAAACAUUAAAAAUUUGGCUGGUUCUUGCAGACUCCA